CAAAAACAUUGCUUUUUGAAAAUAAAAUAAAUAAAAAGUAACUCCUGCCCGGUGAAAAUUUAAACGGCCGCGGUACCCUAACCGUGCAAAGGUAGCAUAAUCACUUGCCAAUUAAUUGUUGGCUAGAAUGAAUGGAUAAACGAAAUAAUAACUGUCUCUGUUUGAUAUAUUAAAAACUAUUCUUCAGAUGAAGAAAUCUGAAUUAAGUUGAAAGACAAGAAGACCCUAUAGAGCUUAAUCUAAAAAUUGAACUACUAUUUUAUGAUUUGGUUGGGGCGACCAGGGAAAUACUAAUAAUCACCCCAUAAAACUUAAGAUAUAUUUAUCUAAAUUAAAGACCCUAAUAAUAAGAACACAAGAAUAAGCUACCUUAGGGAUAACAGGCUAAUCUCACUAAAGAGUUCUUAUUAACAGUGAGGGUUGGCACCUCGAUGUUGGCUUAGGGUAUCUAUAAAAUGCAGAAGUUUUAUAAAGAUGGUUUGUUCAACCAAUAAAACCCUACGUGAUCUGA
rnacentral:rRNA from 1 species